GACGAACGCUGGCGGCGUGCUUAACACAUGCAAGUCGAACGGAAAGGCCUCUUUCGGGGGGUACUCGAGUGGCGAACGGGUGAGUAACACGUGAGUAACCUGCCCUUGACUUUGGGAUAACUUCAGGAAACUGGGGCUAAUACCGGAUAGGAGCUCCUGCUGCAUGGUGGGGGUUGGAAAGUUUCGGCGGUUGGGGAUGGACUCGCGGCUUAUCAGCUUGUUGGUGGGGUAGUGGCUUACCAAGGCUUUGACGGGUAGCCGGCCUGAGAGGGUGACCGGCCACAUUGGGACUGAGAUACGGCCCAGACUCCUACGGGAGGCAGCAGUGGGGAAUAUUGCACAAUGGGUGGAAGCCUGAUGCAGCAACGCCGUGGGCGGGAGGACGGCCUUCGGGUUGGAAACCGCUUUCGCUCAUGACGAAGCUUUGUGUGACGGUAGUGGGUAAAGAAGCACAGGCUAACUACGUG
rnacentral:rRNA from 1 species